GUAUUUUGAAUCUGUAAUCUUUAAAGGACUGCUAGAGACGCUGAGUGGGUGGCUCUUGAGCGACGCUUUCCAGGAUCGCGGGCGUCAGGGGACAGCCUAGAACGAAGAGAGGUGCAGCGGUAGAAUAGCUUCGCUGUUGACAAAUCAUCUCCGGGAGGGCCACAGAAGAAAGGCCAAAGCCACGAGAAAGAACAGAAGACACUGAGGUCCACAUCAUAAAAGAAAAAAAAAAAAAAAGAACAGAAGACACACAGAAGUCCUUGCCCAAUCUCCCACCAGCUCUUCUCCAGAACUGCGAGUUAAACCUCUGAAGAAAUGACCGCGUUAUGUCUUAGUGACUCCACACCUAGGCAAGUUGACAUUAAAGCCUAUCACGGAUCUGAAUGGCGAGGAGCACACAGAAGCCAGAAGGAUCUGCUGACCAACACGUGUAUCAGGGCCUAUCAGCUAUCCAACACAGAAAGGGAAUGGAGAGAUGGAGAACGGCCCUCAGAACAGAAUCAGCAGUCUGGACACUGACCACCUCCUCUUCUUUUGAGCGCUUUUUAGUCACUGAUGGGUAAUUUAGUGUCUGCUCCGAAGAGGUUUUGAAACAGGAGCAGAACGAUUCUACAGCUAAAUCACUAAUCGCCCGAACCUCAAGACGGCAACUUAUUACCAUCCUCGUUCUAGUUUCAUAUUUCUUGAGCUUUAUUGUCCAACUUUCUUACUAGAAGUUACACAAUGAGAUCAGCUGGUCACAUAAA